GAUGAACGCUGGCGGCGUGCCUAAUACAUGCAAGUCGAGCGAAUGGAUUAAGAGCUUGCUCUUAUGAAGUUAGCGGCGGACGGGUGAGUAACACGUGGGUAACCUGCCCAUAAGACUGGGAUAACUCCGGGAAACCGGGGCUAAUACCGGAUAACAUUUUGAACCGCAUGGUUCGAAAUUGAAAGGCGGCUUCGGCUGUCACUUAUGGAUGGACCCGCGUCGCAUUGGCUAGUUGGUGAGGUAACGGCUCACCAAGGCAACGAUGCGGAGCCGACCUGGGAGGGUGAUCGGCCACACUGGGACUGAGACCCGGCCCAGACUCCUACGGGAGGCAGCAGUAGGGAAUCUUCCGCAAUGGACGAAAGUCUGACGGAGCAACGCCGCGUGAGUGAUGAAGGCUUUCGGGUCGUAAAACUCUGUUGUUAGGGAAGAACAAGUGCUAGUUGAAUAAGCUGGCACCUUGACGGUACCUAACCAGAAAGCCACGGCUAACUACGUGCCAGCAGCCGCCGUAA
rnacentral:rRNA from 1 species